rnacentral:lncRNA from 1 species
UUCUGUGCAUGGUCAGGCUGCUCUGAGACACAAGCCUAUCCAGAGAACUUGAGGAUUCAUAAAGUCUACAGAGUCUUCUAUAAAAAUCUGUUGGAGAAGUUUGGCUCGGAGAAAAUCCUCCAACAGGCCGUGUCGACUCAGGACUCUUCAUUUGAUAGGAUUCUUGUCAAGUCUUUGAGUGAAGCGCUUCUCCACAGAUGUAAUGAGGCAUUGAGGGCAGCCUCAAGAACAUCAGUCAAAACCACCGGGCCUAAGGCUCUUCCACUGGCUGAGGAUGUGAGGGCUAGCAGCGGGAAACUAUCUUUUCUACAAAGGCUGGUCAGGCUGACAAGCAACUUAAAGCUAUUCAAGAAGGGGAACAAGAAGGAUUCCCACCGCUCUGAAUCAGAACAAGUACAGACCACUGCUGAAGAUGGCAUGCGUAAGUUCACACAACAGGACAACAGUCUGUUUGAGAUAUUGGUGUACAAAGAAAUGCCACUUCAAAAUAACCUUACAAAGGUUAUAUACGCAAUCAGUAGUCAUCUCUUAUGUAAAAGUAAUUAUAUUCUCCAAAACUCAAGCUGUUGGUUCUCAUUUUAUCAGUGUCAGUUAUGUUGAGUUGUAACAUACAUUACAUCAUUUCUGAAUUAAAGUGCAUGUAAACGCUCUCUCUCUCUUCUGUAGUGCCCAGCAUAGUGCCACAUGCUGCCAUGUCUGCACUGCCAAACGAUCUCCCCGUCAGCUCCCAACAGGAGACGCCUCACAAACGUCCACUUCUCGUCAGGAUGUUUUCUGCCAUCUCCAAAGGCCUGUUCAAGCCCUUCAAACAGUCCUUAAAGACCAAGUAACUUCAGACAAUUUAUUAAACGUCAUUCAUUGCAUUAAAUUGGCCUUUGUCUUCUUAUGUGCUCCCGUUAACAGACCAGAUUACAAUACUGGUCUUUUAAAUGUUAGCAGUGAUAGCAACAUUAACUAUAGUGGUGUGUGUAUAGCCCUUCUACACAGUCUGACUCUUCUGACACUGUGUGACAUGCCCUCUGAUCCAGUGAUCUAGGAUCUUCUGAGUGGCUUUAGGCCUGAAUCUCUGCCCUCCUGCCCAAAUAAAUGUUUUCUCUUCUGAUAUAUCUGCCACUGUCAGCAGCCAGCAGGGGAAAACAGACAAUGCUGUUGAGAGCUUUCUUUUCUCCCUCAUGACUAAAACACUGAGAAAGGCUUUUAUCUAUUGCAGCAUAUUCCAUCUUUUGAUUUAACCUAUUAUACGGUAGAAGUACCCAUUAUUUCCCAACGGUUAUAUCACAGGAAAUGUGUUAUAAAAAGUAAACUUACAGUGCAUCCGGAAAGUAUUCAGACCACUUGACUUUUUCCACAUCGUUACGCCUUAUUCUAAAA